CAGGCCUGGCAGUGAACCAGGGACACCAAGGGGCCUGCAGAGUAGGCUCUAAUUUUGCUCCUGUCACUGACUGCCUUCUCCAGGCCACUGCACACCCACGCUCCUGUGAGUCGCGGUUUGCAGAGGAGUUUGCAGAGCCUGGCGUCUGCGAAAAGGAAGUAUUGUCUCCCAGCUACAAAACAGAAAUGGAACAUGGUGAUACAAGCAAAUCAAAUACAAGCAAAUGAAAAAGUCCAGCCGCAGAUUGGCCCAGAACAGCAGGCUGUCACGUGACCAAGUCCCAGCCUCUGCGAAGCACCCACGUCUGAAUUUCCAUGACGCACCUGCUGCCGUCACAUUGGCUCUCAAGUAAGUCAGUGGUCAAAUCUUUUCCAAAAGUGGUUUUGACAGAGAACAGCUUAAAUCACCAAAGAUGUUGACAAAUGCGCUGUUAUCUAGGAAAGUGAGUAAAGCAACUCGUUUGAACGACAGGAACA